rnacentral:rRNA from 1 species
AUUGAACGCUGGCGGAAUGCUUUACACAUGCGAGUCGAACGGCAGCACGGGGGCAACCCUGGUGGCGAGUGGCGAACGGGUGAGUAAUACAUCGGAACGUGCCCGGUCGUGGGGGAUAACGUAGCGAAAGUUACGCUAAUACCGCAUACGAUCUGAGGAUGAAAGCGGGGGACCUUCGGGCCUCGCGCGAUCGGAGCGGCCGAUGUCAGAUUAGGUAGUUGGUGGGGUAAAGGCCUACCAAGCCGACGAUCUGUAGCUGGUCUGAGAGGACGACCAGCCACACUGGGACUGAGACACGGCCCAGACUCCUACGGGAGGCAGCAGUGGGGAAUUUUGGACAAUGGGCGCAAGCCUGAUCCAGCCAUGCCGCGUGCAGGACGAAGGCCUUCGGGUUGUAAACUGCUUUUGUAUGGAACGAAAAGGCUCUGGCUAAUACCUGGGGCUCAUGACGGUACCGUAAGAAUAAGCACCGGCUAACUACGUG